CACAGGUGUUCUGAGAAACCUUAUUAAAUAACUUAAAAUGUAUUUUUCACAACAUAUUUCACCUAUAUCAUCAUACAUCUUUAAAACCUAAAAACAUACAUUUUAUUUUCUUAAGAUUUUUUGUGUGUUCUGUACAUAAUUCUUUCUCUUUUCUGCAUUUCAACUCUGCUGUAGUUUAUUUCUAAUAAAUCUGAUAUUGUAUACUACGUAUUGUUGGCUCUGUAACAAAUUGUUUAUGUUCCUAUAUUCUUCCAUUCUGAUGACCGGGCAGCAAAGUUGGAGCGGACCUCUUGUUGACUUCUCCAGGCACUAUUUACCAUCUGACUAGUAAGUAAAACCUCAAACAUUCAAAAGAUUUUUUAUCUUUAUAGGAUAUUAAAAAAAAUAUAUCAAAUAAAUAUCAAAUAUUUUUUGAGUCCUGUAUGUCUUACAAGGCCAUCCUGUUUAACGCUGCAUUGAGGACACUACAACCAGAGAGGGCUGUUCGUGAACACAGAAAAUCGAGAGAUGUUGUGACAACCUGGACAGAAGUCAGCUCCAAAUCCAUUCUCAACACCAGACUUCUCAUUCACAAGGAUUCCUCUCUUAAAAACCAAUAAUUUUUUUUUAUUUAUUUUUUUUCAGAAAUCACUUUUUUUUUAUUGCGCCUUCCAAGUAAAAUCAAUCAAACUGCAGUAGGGUUGUAUUGAUUAAGAUUAAGAUUAUUCAGAUGACAAUGUAGAUGCCAGAAAAAGGUUGAUGUUGUUGUGAUCAUAGAUUGUAUGUGAUUACAGGCAAUACAGUACAUGGUUUUUCCCUCACCAUUGUAACACACUACUUUUGCAAGGUUCCGUGAAAAUGUUUCAGCUUUUAUUUUCCUUUUACACCCUGAAGAUAUCACAGGUUCAUCAACUUCAUCUAAAUUAUCCAUCCCCGAUCGCAUUUAGUCAACUUUGAAAAAUUCCUCUCAGCUAGCACGUCUUUUUAAAGUGAAAGUAGCUUUGUCACCUGACCUAAAUACAGUGUGCUGAUUCACUAAAACUGAUUUAUCGGCUUCUAAACAAAAACAACAAGGGCGCUUGUCGGCUCCUGCAGUGAAACAUUAACUCGCGAUGCCUUGAAAGUGGACAAUACUGGAUUUUUUGACCAAACAUAUUUAGGGUUCAGAUUGCGCUAUACGUGGAGAAUAAUGCAAUUUUUUUUAAGGGCUGUUUAUCAGUUUUUGCAAAUGAACUAUAUAUAUAAAUAUAUAUAUUUUAAUUUUUUUUUUUCAAGGCAUCUAAAAGCCAUUUCACACUUGCCAUACUCCAACAGGGUGAACGCACUGACCAAACAAAACAAAAUGUUGGCAGUGUGAAGUGACCAUAAUGCAGUAUGUUAGGUGUGAGAUUCAUUAAACUUGGUAUACUAUAUUAAAUGAUAUUUGCAAUACAGGAAGACAGUUUUUUAUUUGUUUGAAAUUCUAUACAAAGAAAGUAAUGUUAGAGUUUCAAUGAAUAGCCUUGUCAGUUUACAUCUUAUGUGAACACUAAUGCUGAGUUACUGCUUCUGGGCAAAUGAAGACAAAGGAAGCCCACAUAUGCUGCAAACCUUCUCUCUCAAUUAGAAAAAGUUGUUUUAAUCAAUGUUAAGGUUUUCAAUGUGUUAGUAGCUCUAUGCACAGAAACUUAAUAUUAGAGAUUCAAUGAACAGACUUGUCAGUUUACAGCUUCUCUGAACACUAAUGCAGAGUUAGUGCUUCUAGGCAAAUGAAGAGAACACAAGCCCACAUAUACUGCGAAGCUUCUCUCUCAGUGAGAGAAAGUUGCUUAUUUCAAUGAACAGCCUUGUCAGUUUCCUUUUUUUGUGAACACUAAUGCAGAGUUAGUGCUUCUGGGCAAAUGAAGAGAACGCAAGCCCACAUGUAAUGCAAAUGUUCUCUCAGUGAGCGAAAGUUCCUUAUUUCAAAGUUAAGAGCAAAACUUGCAAAUACGAAAGAUUUUUCUGACUCAUGAACUGAAAUAUUAUUUGCAAUGCAGAAAGACAGUUUUCAAUGUGUUAGAAGUUCUAUGCACAGAAAAUUGUUAGAGCUUCAAUGCACAACCUUGUCAGUUUACAGCUUCUGUGAACACUGAUGCUGAGUUACUGCUUUUGGUCAAAUGAAGAGAAAGCAAGCCCACAUAUGCUGCAAUGAUUCUCUCAGUGAGAAAAAGUUCCUUCAUGCAAAUUUAAGAGCAAAGCUUGCCAACAAGAUAGAUGAUUCUGAUUUAUAAAAAUAAAUUAUAUUUGCAAUGAAGAGAACGCA
ensembl:lncRNA